rnacentral:rRNA from 1 species
UUGACGCUAGCGGGAUGCUUCAUGCAGUCGAACGGCNGCACGGACUUCGGUCUGGUGGCGAGUGGCGAACGGGUGAGUAAUGUAUCGGAACGUGCCCAGUAAGCGGGGGAUAACUACGCGAAAAGCGUNAGCUAAUACCGCAUACGCCCUACGGGGGAAAAGCAGGGGAUCUUCGGACCUUGCACUAUUGGAGCGGCCGAUAUCGGAUUAGCUAGUUGGUGGGGUAACGGCCUACCAAGGCGACGAUCCGUAGCUGGUUUGAGAGGACGACCAGCCACACUGGGACUGAGACACGGCCCAGACUCCUACGGGAGGCAGCAGUGGGGAAUUUUGGACAAUGGGGGAAACCCUGAUCCAGCCAUCCCGCGUGUGCGAUGAAGGCCUUCGGGUUGUAAAGCACUUUUGGCAGGAAAGAAACGUCGCGGGCUAAUACCCCGCGAAACUGACGGUACCUGCAGAAUAAGCACCGGCUAACUACGUGCACACCG